UACGGAGGGGCUAGCGUUGUUCGGAAUUACUGGGCGUAAAGCGCACGUAGGCGGAUUGUUAAGUCGGGGUGAAUCCUGGAGCUCAACUCCAGAACUGCCUUCGAUACUGGCGAUCUCGAGUUCGGGAGAGGUGAGUGGAACUGCGAGUGUAGAGGUGAAAUUCGUAGAUAUUCGCAAGAACACCAGUGGCGAAGGCGGCUCACUGGCCCGAUACUGACGCUGAGGUGCGAAAGCGUGGGGAGCGAACAGG
rnacentral:rRNA from 1 species